ensembl:snRNA U6 U6 spliceosomal RNA
ACGCUUACUUCAGCAGCACAUAUACUAAAAUUAGAACAAUACAGAGAAAAUUAGCAUGGACCCCACACAAGGAUUGCAUGCAAAUUCAUGAAGCGUUCCAUAUUUUU